rnacentral:rRNA from 1 species
GAUGAACGCUGGCGGCGUGCCUAAUACAUGCAAGUCGAGCGAACAGACGAGGAGCUUGCUCCUCUGACGUUAGCGGCGGACGGGUGAGUAACACGUGGAUAACCUACCUAUAAGACUGGGAUAACUUCGGGAAACCGGAGCUAAUACCGGAUAAUAUAUUGAACCGCAUGGUUCAUUGGUGAAAGACGGAUUUGCUGUCACUUAUAGAUGGUUCCGCGCCGCAUUAGCUAGUUGGUAAGGUAACGGCUUACCAAGGCUACGAUGCGUAGCCGACCUGAGAGGGUGAUCGGCCACACUGGAACUGAGACACGGUCCAGACUCCUACGGGAGGCAGCAGUAGGGAAUAUUCCGCAAUGGGCGAAAGCCUGAUGGAGCAACGCCGCGUGGGUGAUGAAGGUCUUCGGAUCGUAAAACUCUUUUAUUAGGGAAGAACAAAUGUGUAAGUAACUAUGCACGUCUUGACGGUACCUAAUCAGAAAGCCACGGCUAACUACGUG